GCUGCCUGAAUUACAGCUUCUAAAACUCAAGAGCUAAGGAGGGGGUGAGAAUGCUAAUGUCCUACUCCUCCUGGGAUAAAAAUAUAGUCCUAGAUUUGGAGCUGGGCAGGAACUUCAUGCAGAGUACAGCGAAGGAUUGGAGGGAUAUUCAUGAACGAGAAAUCAAUGGAGGACAAGAUGACUCACAUUUUUCCCCAAAGUAUAAUGCAGGAUCACUGUUGCCUUAUUGAUUUUCUUUCUCAAAGACCUGUCCAUUGAUGUGA